rnacentral:rRNA from 1 species
CCCGCGUCUGAUUAGCCAGUUGGCGGGGUAACGGCCCACCAAAGCGACGAUCAGUAGCCGGCCUGAGAGGGUGAACGGCCACAUUGGGACUGAGACACGGCCCAAACUCCUACGGGAGGCAGCAGUGGGGAAUAUUGCACAAUGGGGGAAACCCUGAUGCAGCGACGCCGCGUGAGUGAAGAAGUAUUUCGGUAUGUAAAGCUCUAUCAGCAGGGAAGAAAGUGACGGUACCUGAAUAAGAAGCCCCGGCUAACUACGUGCCAGCAGCCGCGGUAAUACGUAGGGGGCAAGCGUUAUCCGGAUUUACUGGGUGUAAAGGGAGCGUAGACGGCAAGGCAAGUCUGAAGUGAAAGCCCGGUGCUUAACGCCGGGACUGCUUUGGAAACUGUUUAGCUGGAGUGCCGGAGAGGUAAGCGGAAUUCCUAGUGUAGCGGUGAAAUGCGUAGAUAUUAGGAAGAACACCAGUGGCGAAGGCGGCUUACUGGACGGUAACUGACGUUGAGGCUCGAAAGCGUGGGGAGCAAACAGGAUUAGAUACCCUGGUAGUCCACGCCGUAAACGAUGAUUGCUAGGUGUAGGUGGGUAUGGACCCAUCGGUGCCGCAGCUAACGCAAUAAGCAAUCCACCUGUGGGUA